rnacentral:rRNA from 1 species
AAUAGAUACCCAGGUAGUCCACGCCGUAAACGAUGGAUGCUAGCUGUUAUGAGUAUCGACCCUUGUAGUAGCGAAGCUAACGCGUUAAGCAUCCCGCCUGUGGAGUACGAGCGCAAGCUUAAAACAUAAAGGAAUUGACGGGGACCCGCACAAGCGGUGGAGCGUGUUGUUUAAUUCGAUGAUAAGCGAAGAACCUUACCAAGGCUUGACAUCCCUGGAAGGUCUCCGAAAGGAGACUGUGCCUUCGGGAAUCAGGUGACAGGUGAUGCAUGGCCGUCGUCAGCUCGUGUCGUGAGAUGUUUGGUUAAGUCCAUCAACGAGCGCAACCCUUUAUAAAUAGUUGAAUUUUUCUAUUUAGACUGCCUCGGUAACGGGGAGGAAGGAGGGGAUGACGUCAGGUCAGUAUUUCCCUUAUGCCUUGGGCUACAAACACGCUACAAUGGCCGGUACAAAGGGCAGCCAACCCGCGAGGGGGAGCAAAUCCCGAUCAAAACCGGUCCCAGUUCGGAUAGCAGGCUGAAACUCGCCUGCUUGAAGUCGGAAUCGCG